CUGACAGGACAGGAGAGGAUCAAGUGGCAGCGUAUUCUGACAGUCCUGAGCCUUACUAUGAUGAAAGUGAAGAAGUCAUAAAGAAGAAACUCACUAAACAAAUGGUCCAAACUAGUCAUGGUACACAAAACGAACUUGAUUUGAAGAAAACCAAAAAAAAAACAAAUUAUAAGAUGGCAGCAACACUGACAGGAAACCAGCAGGAUGAUAGAGACGAAGAAACAGGACUAGAAAACUUUCAGAGUUACAGAAAUAAAGGGUCAAAGGGCGAUGAGGUCAGGAGACAAGGUUCAAAUCAGGCUGCAUUUGAGCACAAAACCACAAAAGUAGAUAUCAGGGAGUUUUCUCCUGGUGGUAAAGGUAAAACAUUAAUGAUAAAAACAAUUACUGAGGAAAUCACAACUGUUAACAACAGCAACAACAGAAAAUCAAUAAACAAUGAAGGAAAUGUUGACUGUGACUUGGAGGAUGGUGUAUCAGUUUCUGCAAAAGAAAAGAUGACAAUCCUCUCUGAACCUCUUUUACGUGACCAACAAAAUCCCACAUCGAAGGAAAUCACCAGAGGAGCAAAAGAAGACGAAUACAGGAUGAACAUUUCCCCUGAGACUGAUCUGGAAGCACAACAAGCAAGACAUGAUAAGAAGAAACGUUCAUGAUAUGAAAAACGCAAAUCAGGAAUCAAAUGAAAAGACAUCAAAUGUGUUUUAAUAGCAGUCAUUGUUUGCUGCUCCUUAAGUUUUCCUGAAGGCCUUUAUAAGUCUGGAGACAAGAAAUUACAAAGAGAUACAGUGAAAGGUUGUUGUUGUUUUUUUGUUUUUUUUUUACAAAGCUUGUAAAUAAUAUCAGCUAAAUUUAAUGUUUUUCAUAAAUUCUCUUUGGCUUGUUUGUUUUAUCUGUCAAUGUUAACAUUUGUGCUCUUUUUCUAUUUUAACUUUGAUUUCUAGUAUUGUGUUCUGCAAUAAAUUGUGUAAAAAAAAACCUAACA